rnacentral:tRNA from 1 species
AAGCCGGUGGUCAGGGCCUUGUCGUGGGCCUGCUGGAACCGGGCCUCGGCGCGCUGGGCCGCAGUGCUGACCGCGUCGGUGCAC